UGGUCACUAAAUCUCAUUUAAGCCUCACGACAGCCCUGGAAGGCAGGCCUGGGUGUGAGCAAUGCAGGGGAGCACGCCUUGAGACCCACGUUUUUGCACUUACAGUGUGGUCACACUUGACUACUUGAGAGAAGAAAUCAAAACCAUACAGAUCUGAGGUCAGGCACCCAACAAAUGCUUGCUGAACGUUAAUGGUGACAGUCACGGGACGUCUUUCCUGGGACAUCUUAAAGAACGGCCAUGGUACCUUCCAGAGUCUAGACCACUUCAUGACUUGGAGAAUUCCUGAAGAUGGUGGUUUUGCAAGAGGUAACUGAAGGAACCUGUAAACAGCUCUGGAAUGAAGACAGUCACUUAGGAGACUGCCUUAGGAAACAAGACAAGAGAAGCUGCAUCUUCCUUCCUGUCCUCUUACAUGCCAAUCCCCAAUUCCUACAGAGCUUCCUAACACAAGAAUAGAUAACACACCGCAGCAAGAU